rnacentral:snRNA from 1 species
AUUUUUAUACCAAAAGACACAUACUAAAAUUGGCACAGUACAGGGAAGAUUAGCAUGGCUCCUGUGCA